UACGUAGGGUGCAAGCGUUUGUCCGGAAUUAUUGGGCGUAAAGAGCUCGUAGGCGGUUUGUUGCGUCGGCUGUGAAAUCCCGAGGCUCAACCUCGGGUCUGCAGUCGAUACGAGCAAACUAGAGUGUUGCAGGGGAGACUGGAAUUCCUGGUGUAGCGGUGAAAUGCGCAGAUAUCAGGAGGAACACCGGUGGCGAAGGCGGGUCUCUGGGCCGUUGCUGACGCUGAGGCGCGACAGCGUGGGGAGCAAACAGG
rnacentral:rRNA from 1 species